GCCCGGGUGGCUCAGUUGGUUAAGCGUCCGACUUCGGCUCAGGUCAUGAUCUCACGGUUCGUGGGUUCGAGCCCUGCAUCGGGCU
rnacentral:tRNA from 1 species